UUUUUUUGUCACAUGCCCCUUUCUGUGUAAAGUUUAAGCUGCUGAAAUAUUUUAUAGGAAAAAAAUUGAGCACAAUUUUCAUGUUUUUUUCAUUAAUUUCGCCUCACUUGUUCUAUUAAACAUAUGGUCUUCAGAACUAGACACAGUAUUUUGAAAGAAAUCUCUAAGUGAUACCACUGCUUUGCUAAGAUGCCUGUUCACAUAAAUAAUAGUAAUUCCUGCAGGAGAUGGUGACUGCUAGCAAAGAAACAGGACACAUUCUGUAUUCAUCAAGCUAUUUACAAAGUCUGUUGGAGAG